GGGUUGUGAGGUUAAGCGACUAAGCGUACACGGUGGAUGCCCUGGCAGUCAGAGGCGAUGAAGGACGUGCUAAUCUGCGAUAAGCGUCGGUAAGGUGAUAUGAACCGUUAUAACCGGCGAUUUCCGAAUGGGGAAACCCAGUGUGAUUCGUCACACUAUCAUUAUGUGAAUACAUAGCGUAAUGAAGCGAACCGGGGGAACUGAAACAUCUAAGUACCCCGAGGAAAAGAAAUCAACCGAGAUUCCCCCAGUAGCGGCGAGCGAACGGGGAGCAGCCCAGAGUCUGAAUCAGCAUGUGUGUUAGUGGAACGGUCUGGAAAGUCCGACGGUACAGGGUGAUAGUCCCGUACACAAAAGUGCAUGUGUUGUGAACUCGAAGAGUAGGGCGGGACACGUGGUAUCCUGUCUGAAUAUGGGGGGACCAUCCUCCAAGGCUAAAUACUCCUGACUGACCGAUAGUGAACCAGUACCGUGAGGGAAAGGCGAAAAGAACCCCGGCGAGGGGAGUGAAAAAGAACCUGAAACCGUGUACGUACAAGCAGUGGGAGCCUCUUUAUGGGGUGACUGCGUACCUUUUGUAUAAUGGGUCAGCGACUUAUAUUCUGUAGCAAGGUUAACCGAAUAGGGGAGCCGAA
rnacentral:rRNA from 1 species